rnacentral:rRNA from 1 species
GAUGAACGCUAGCUACAGGCUUAACACAUGCAAGUCGAGGGGAAACGAUAGAGAAGCUUGCUUUUUCUAGGCGUCGACCGGCGCACGGGUGAGUAACGCGUAUCCAACCUGCCCAUCACUUGGGGAUAACCUUGCGAAAUCGGUACUAAUACCCCAUAAUAUUCUGGGAGGCAUCUUUCGGAGUUGAAAGCUUUGGUGGUAAAGGAUGGGCAUGCGUUGUAUUAGCUAGUUGGUAAGGUAACGGCUUACCAAGGCGACGAUACAUAGGGGGACUGAGAGGUUAACCCCCCACAUUGGUACUGAGACACGGACCAAACUCCUACGGGAGGCAGCAGUGAGGAAUAUUGGUCAAUGGGCGAGAGCCUGAACCAGCCAAGUCGCGUGGAGGAAGACUGCCCUACGGGUUGUAAACUCCUUUUACCUGGGAAUAACGGGCGCUACGCGUAGCGCUGUGCAUGUACCGGGAGAAUAAGCAUCGGCUAAUUCCGUG